AGAGGUAUAGCUCAAGUGGUAGAGCACGUGCUCAACAUGCAUGAAGCCCUGGGUUCAAUCCCCAGUACCUCCU
rnacentral:tRNA from 1 species